GUUGCGGUGGCCGAGCGGUUAAGACGUUGGACUAGAAAUCCAAUGGGAUCUUCCCGCGCAGGUUCGAGUCCUGCCGGCAACG
rfam:Nematostella vectensis strain CH2 x CH6 NEMVEscaffold_486_Cont28485, whole genome shotgun sequence.